AUACGGGGGGAGCAAGCGUUGUUCGGAUUCAUUGGGCGUAAAGAGCACGUAGGCGGCCAUGUAAGUCGGGUGUGAAAUCCCUCGGCCUAACCGAGGAACUGCGCCCGAAACUACAUAGCUUGAGGGCAGGAGGGGAGCGUGGAAUUCCUGGUGGAGCGGUGAAAUGCGUUGAUAUCAGGAGGAACACCGGCGGCGAAGGCGACGCUCUGGCCUGCUUCUGACGCUGAGGUGCGAAAGCCAGGGGAGCAAACGGGAUUAGAAACCCCAGUAGUCC
rnacentral:rRNA from 1 species